rnacentral:lncRNA from 1 species
AAAAAAUCAAAGAGGCGUUAGCUUUCUCAAAAGCUGAGCUUGCUCAGAAACCACGGCCAAUCUUCUUUUCCAGAUUUGUCCGCACUUGUCACAUGCAACCUCUACACUCGACGGGAUUUCAGAGAUCGAAAAGGCAAUUCCAGAUAUCGGAGAGGCAUCUGCUUUUCCAGACGUGUCAACAUUUGUCACAUGCAGAGUAAGUUUUGCGGAAAUCACGGGCAGUUUGUCGAAGCACCGAUUCCAACCAUCUGUUUUUCCAGACGUGUCAACAGCUGUCACAUGCAGAGUAAGCUUUGCGGAAAUCACGGCCAGUUUGUCGAAGCGCCGAUUCCAACCAUCUGCUUUUCCAGACGCGUCAACAUCUAUCACAUGCAAAGUAAGCUUUGCAGAAAUCACGGCCAGUUUGUCGAAGCGCCGAUUCCAAAUAUCGGAGAAGUAUCUGUUUUUCCAAACGUGUCAGCAUCUGUCAUAUGUAGAGUCAGCUUUGCGUAAAUCAUGGGCAAUCUGUUGAAGAUCUCUUGUGAAGUAGAAAGCACGUGAAGUUUACUAUUAAAUCAUCCAACGGUUGCUGACAAGAGUGAAAGAAUAGUACCGGUUAUUAAUUCCUAUAAAUGUCACCCUUCACCCUCAAUUGCAAGGCAGACAUACAUAACCCUUCUUCUUCUCAGAGAAUGCCUUUCCAACAAACCUUCUCGAGUCACUCAGUGUUCCUUAUUCCUUGGGGUACCUCUGUAAACAACUCAUCCAAAGCAAAAGUAUUUCAUAUCAUGAAGGUUGAAAG